ensembl:lncRNA HULC hepatocellular carcinoma up-regulated long non-coding RNA
GCCUCCCGACAGGCCUGUGUGGCCGGUGGCGGGCGGGCCGUUACCUCCCGCGCAUGCUCUAUGGGGUAGAGACGCUAGGCCGGCACUGCCUAGGUGGGCCGGGCGGUGCGAGGGUCGCCUUUCAGCCUUUACCUCUACCCACUGAAAUGGAGUAGGUCGGUGAGCGCCGAUCUGCUGGAGAAUCUCAUUAUCCCAUCGGCGCUCUGCCUGCUCCUGGCCUCCAAGCCUCUGAAGCCCCUCGGGUUUCAGCUGCCGGCUACCCUCGAGCCCGUGGUGCCCACGAGAGAGGCGACUUUACGUCAGCGGCCCUGGGCUGAGAUUUGAGAACGCGACCAAGUGGAGAAUGUUGGAGCCAGAUUUUAAAAUCCUUGUCUUCCUUCUGCGUGCUACUUGAUCUAAAUGAGAUACGGCAAAGUCACAGAACCUGUUUUUAUGUUUUUGCCUGAUUCAUACGGGCUUCUCCGGUGAAGAUGGGCCUGAAGUAACGCUUGGGUUGCUUCUGACGUUAUAACUCAUCCUGUAGCUGCAGCAACCGUGGUCCUUGCAACCUCAUAAAAAUGUUGCCAGCAUUGUUUCGAUAGUGCUGCUUAAUUCUUGGAAGGUUCUUCGGACUUCACACAUUCCAGCAGUAGCUCUCUCAGCUCCUGUCCUGCACAGCUUUGAAGUGCUGGCUGGAGUGCAGUGGUGCCAUCUCGGCUCACUGCAGCCUCAACCUCCUGGGCUCAAGCGAUCCUCCUGCCACACCCUCCUGAGUAGCUGGGAUUACAGGACACAGCCCUGGUGAUGGCUUUCUGAGGAUGACACGAUGGAGGCUUCUCCAAUAGCUCUAAAACUGCGGUGUGGAAAACAUUCGGCAGCCUCAAAGAGCGGUCUUGUUGACCCCAACUAUAUCAUUUUUCAUCAAAAUCAUUCUUGUAAAGAAUGACCAGGCAACACUCUUUGAAAAUUGGAGGCCAUUUGCAGCUGCUCUCUGUUGAGGAAAGUGAAUAAUAGGGUGCCCUCAAGGAAUUGCAAAGGGACACGCUGCGGAUGGCUUGAGAUUAGUAUCUGCGCAGGUGCCAUUCUCACAGUGUGUGCUGUGAGAAUGUCGCAGACGUGUGCUGCUACUCUGGCACUCACACUUGUCCAGGCUGUUUCUUAGGUGGUCAUCUUGCCUGUGGUAUCAGAAAAAGGGAUUUCUACUUAGUAUUAAGAAGUUGAAACCAAAGUAGAAAAUAUUCAUCCUUUGCUUUCCCCAAACAAUUCUUCUGCCUAGAAAUGUCAACAACUUAACCACAUGCAAAUACCCAUUUGUGGACAAAUGUGUACAAAAGACAUUUGGGGUUCCCCUCUUUGAGACUAGAUUAAAGCUGACCAUAUAGAUAGGGAAGAAAACUGUUUUUCUCUGUAGCAUCAUAUUGCUGCUUUGUAUAUUUUCUGAUAGAGUAGCAUCAGGUCCUCUGGCUGCUUUAUUGAAAUCAUCUUUGACGUUUCUAACAAGGAAAUUUCCUGUGCAAAACUCUAGUUAGAGAUUUCAGUGACUUGUAUCACCAAGAGGAGGACCAUCAGCAUGCAGUGGAGGUCUAGGCUUCAGACAUGUGAGGCACACUGAGGAGCAGCUUUAUUUGCAAGAGGUAUUAGGAAUCUUCCUAACAAAGUUGACCUUCAGGAUGGGAGAAAUCAAAGCACAGACCAUAGAUCCAAAAAAAAUGGCUUCUGGUCAGAAAAGGUGAUCUGAGAUUAGGGGAAGAUGUGUCAUCAAUAUCAUCCCCUGGUCCAGCCCUGUGAAAUCACACCUGAGUGGUAGAGAAAUAUCUAUGAAAAAAUAGUAAAACAGAAACAAAUGUUUCUGUCUGGCAGACAGGCAGCUGCAUGGCUUUCAGGGCCAGGUAGAGGGGACAUCACAUGUACAUGGUGGCAGCGGGAUGUCCCCAGGUAGCAGAAAGUCGCAGGUGGCUCAUCAGAGACCCUAAAGAACUAGCCCCCUACUUGUAGGUGUCAGUGGCUGUGGUAGGAGUGGCCAUAGAUAGUUUCUGGUUACACAAGAUUGGUGUGGGAACAGCAUGACCACGAGAAAAAUCUGGGUUGACGGCCCCAGGGAGCUGGAGCAGAAUAUUAACAAUAGUAGCUAGCAUUUGAGUGCUGCCCAUGUGCUUGAAAAUGUUCUAGGUGAUUUACCUUUAUUAGCUCCUAUAAUUCUCAAAACGACCUCGAGUUAGGUCUUUCUAUUAUUCCUAUUUUAUAGACAAAGCAGUGGAGCCACAGAGAGGUUAAGUAACUUGCCCAAUGUCACACAGCAAAAAGUGGCAGAGCCACAAUUUUAAUUUGGGUUGAAGAGGAAAAUAGAUAAUGCAUAUUCCUAGGAUCUGAGAGAUGUUUGAGGUGAGGGGGAAUGAGAGGCUCUCCUUUGAAAGAAGCAGCAGGGGGUACUGAAACAGAGUAGAAGAGUGUGAAAGCUGGUGGGGUUGUUGUUGUUGUUGUUUUUAGUCCUAAGUUAGUGGCAUGAAAGCACUGCCCUGGAAGCGAUGGAGCAGCAAGUGCUCUACCCACAUGGAAGUCUUUGGGACCUGCACUUCAAUGAGCGCAGAGAGGAAAAGGAGAGAAGAACCAACACAACUGAAGCACCUACGAGCGUCAGGCACUGGCCCAGCUGCCAUGGACCCCCGAGUUGAAGGUCGUAUAACCUCAGCCUGCCCAAAUGAACCAAGCACACAACCACAGGGGGAACCCAAGAGUUCCAGUGGGAGAGCUGGAAGAGGAGGGACCAAUGUGAGAAGUGGACACCAUAUGGCAGGAUCCAGGAUCCAAUCAGACUGAGCCCUGGGGUCACCCCAUGGAAGGAUCCAGUUGGAUCAUGCCUCCUGGCAUCACCUACUGCAAGAUCCAAUCAGAUCACACCUCCUUACCCUAUGCUUAUAAAACCCCACCCAGCCCCCAGCCCGAAGAUACAGAUUUGAGUAUUUCCUCCUGUUUCCUUACCAGUCGAUUUGCAAUAAA